ensembl:lncRNA
GGUUAGGGUUAGGGUGGUGGUUAAGGGUUAGGGUGGUGGUUAAGGGUUAGGGGGGUGUUUAAGGGUUAGGGUGGUGGUUAAGGGUUAGGGUUGUGGUUAAGGGUUGGGGUGGUGGUUAAGGUUUAGGGUGGUGGUUAAGGGUUAGGGUGGUGGUUAAGGGUUAUGGUGGUGGUUAAGGGUUAGGGGUUAGGGUGGUGGUUAAGGGUUAGGGUUAGGUUGGUGGUUAAGGGCCAGGGUGGUGGUUAAGGGCUAGGGUGGUGGUUAAGGGUUAGGGUUAAGGGUUAGGGUGGUGGUUAAGGGUUAGGGUUAGGGUGGUGGUUAAGGGUUAGGGUGGUGAUUAAGGGUUAGGGUGGUGGUUAAGGGUUAGGGUUGGUUAGGGUUAGGGUUAAGGGUUAGGGUGGUGGUUAGGGUUAGGGUUAGGGUGGUGGUUAAGGGUUAGGGUGGUGAUUAAGGGUUAGGGUGGUGGUUAAGGGUUAGGGUUAGGGUGGUUAAGGGUUAGGGUGGUGGUUAAGGGUUAGGGUUGUGGUUAAGGGUUAGGGUGGUGGUUAAGGGCUAGGGUGGUGGUUAAGGGUUAUGGUAGUGGUUAAGGGUUAGGGUGUUUAAGGGUUAGGGUGGUGGUUAAGGGUUAGGGUUGUGGUUAAGGGUUGGGGUGGUGGUUAAGGUUUAGGGUGGUGGUUAAGGGUUAGGGUGGUGGUUAAGGGUUAUGGUGGUGGUUAAGGGUUAGGGUUAGGGUGGUGGUUAAGGGUUAGGGUGGUGGUUAAGGGUUAGGGUGGUGGUUAAGGGUUAGGGCUAGGGUGGUGUUUAAGGGUUAGGGUGGUGGUUAAGGGCUAGGGUGGUGGUUAAGGGUUAAGGUGGUGGUUAAGGGUUAGGGUGGUGGUUAAGGGUUAGGGUGGUAGUUAAGGGUUAGGGUGGUGGUUAAGGUUUAGGGUUAGGGUGGUGGUUAAGGUUUAGGGUGGUGGUUAAGGGCUAGGGUGGUGGUUAAGGGUUAGGGUGGUGGUUAAGGGUUAGGGUUAGGGUGGUGGUUAAGGGUUAGGGUGGUGGUUAAGGGUUAGGGUGGUGGUUAAGGGUUAGGGUGGUGGUUAAGGGUUAGGGUGGUGGUUAAGGGUUAGGGUUAGGGUGGUGGUUAAGGGUUAGGGUGGUGGUUAAGGGUUAGGGUUAAGGGUUAGGGUUAGGGUGGUGGUUAAGGUGGUUAAAUUGCAGGAAUGUUUGGACAGUGGUUGGAAUGUGACUCGGUAUACAUUGGAAAUGGUUAUGGCUAGGGUG